AGUCUUGGUGUAAUAAGUUAGGUAAUGAGUGUCUGUGCUGUGCUGGUGCUGGCAGGUGGCUCUGUAUUUAUGCUGAGGGGCUGAGGAGGGAAAUGGCACCUGCCAGUUUCUUUGUUCCCAGAGGGUUAUCUCUAUGAAUGCUGUCUCUUUCAGACAUGCUCUGAGAUGAAUAACCACCACACUGUGUCCCAGGUACUCUUUAGAUGGCUGUUUCAAUGCUGUAUGUUCCCAGCUGUUUGUCUGCCUUUUGUCCAAGAGCAGCCCCAAUGCCCCUGAGCUCUCCCAGAACCAAGCAUGCUGACUUUAAAACUCCAGGUUUUAAACCCUACUGUUUGUUGCAAGAACUAAUGAAAUUCAACCCCUCUCACUUUCCAAGCUAAUUGCUGUGGGAGGUUCAUUUUCCCUGUGAGUUUCUUCUUCUGUUUCUUGCUCUUCUCCAUGAGCACAGCUCCAUCCCCACUAAAGAGGCCAUGAUGUGUUUCUCUCUCCAACAGUAUCUUCACACUUCCUACCUUCUUCAAUGUGGCCUCUUCUCUACCGUUAGUUGUGGAGUUUGUUCUGCCAAGUCUUCAGGCAAAUUUCUGGGUAUUUAGGAUGAUUUAAUAGUUACAUAGCUGUAUUCAUGGGACGAGGUGAGCCUAUGGUCCUCCUACUCUGCUGCCAUCUUCUUCAAUCCCAUGAUUACUUCUUAGAUGAUAUUGGUAUUUCGUAUUGCAUUAUGUAAGGAGGCCUAGCUGGGAGUUCCAGGAUGCCCCAAGUGACUUACAAAUUGUGUACAUAUAACUAGAAAUAUCACUCUCCCCCACUCCUUCUCUGGUCCUGUCAUCCUGCAUCCCACAUACUGUGAUGGAAAAGAUUUCCAAGGGAAAAAAAUAGAAUGAAAAACUUUCAGAUCUGAAAGGUAAUUUUGACAUCAUUGUUAUAAAAGCUGAGGAAACUGAAGCUCAAGACUUGGUCAAGGUCACUGAGGUGAGUUUGAAGCCACAAAAAUGACCUUCAACAAACAUAUUCUUACCCCUGGCCAGACUCAUCCAUCAGAGUUGAAAAUAUCUGGUGGCAACUGAGGUCAGUUGGUACCACUAACCCGACUAAUAACCAUAUGACACCUUUUAUUGAGUACUUACCAGCGUUAGGUACUGUGUUUAGUCUUAAAAAAUUACUUUUCAUAAUUCUCACCACCACCCAUGAAGCACAUUUUGAACAGAACAUCUAAUCAUUUCUUUCGGUAGUAAGAAAUCAUCCACGGGUUCAGUAAUUCGACAUUGUGAAAGCAGGUGCCUCUGUGAUGAUCUUAGUGAUAAUCUUUCCAUCUCGGUCAUAGGAUCACUGCUGCAGCUUCAGAUAUCACAUCCAUGAAGAGAGCUGAACGAACUGGCAUGCGGCAGUGCUACCAACUUCAGUCUCAUUCAUGAGACAAGUUCGAUCUUUCCCAGAAGCCCCAGAAUAGACUUCUGUGGUAUCUUUCAUUGUCCCAAACUGUAUUACAUGAUCACCUAUAUGAAUAUGAUGGGAAACUGAAUAUGAUGUACAGCCCUUCCAGCUUAUGUAGAACAGACAGGCAAGGGAAUGGGGGUUAGAUAAACCACACAGCAGUGGAGGUGUUUCUAUCCUCAUGGUUCAGAGAAGGAAACUGAUUCUCAGAAUGGCCAAGUACCUCAUUCAAGGUUACCCAGUGACCAACUGGCAGAAAUGUUUUGACUCCAAAGCACAUGGUGAGUAAGGCAUGCUCACCGAAGAAUGGUGAUGAAGACUGAUGUGGCCAGAGUCUGAGGUGAUUUGAACACUUGAAGAAGAGGUAGGGUCUGUGUAUCCUCAAAGAACAGAGGAGACACUGCUCUCAGACAGUGAUGCUGCUACUUGGCUAAUGAACUGAAGAAGGCCAUUCAGGAGAAGAGUUGCCUGCUGGUGUUUGAGAUAGAGGCAGAGCACAAGUGGAGGAGUGGCAGAGAGAGAGGACUCCAGUGUGGGGAGGAACUGCAGUCCGGGACAGGAGUUCGGAGGUCACAGGAGGGUGGCUGAAAGACACCAGCAGCAGCAUCUGUGUUUAUAAACUGUGUUUCCAAUGGUGUUCGUGUGGCUCCAAGCGUUUCCUGUGGAAUUCCCUGGGAGGCUGGCAGACUCUCCAUCUUUAGAGGGAAGGUGGGACACGGGAGAAGAGAAAUAGCCCUUCGGGACUGAAGGCUCAUGGCAGAUGGUGCAGUCAGAGACAGAGAAUUCUGUGAAGAAGCUGGAGUUACAGGAAGACUGUUUCUACACUAGUCGGAGAGGAAAGGAUUCAGAGAGGCUUCCCACCUGGGCUGCACUCUGAUCCCUGGCACAUCGUCUUGUCUCCAGAGAACUGAAGUCACUGCAUUCUUUAAUGCCAUCAUCUCUUCCCUCAUUGAGAGUCUCAGCACGAUUUGAGAAGGGACUCUAGAUUCAGCAAAGGAAGAAAAGGCUGUCCCAGCUCCACAAGCCUGCACCAACCCUGCCCAUCACUCCUGAGGACAGAGGCAUUCAAUGAUGACCUGAAUUCCCUGUCACAGGCCAUGGGGCUGCAUCGGGCUGUGUAUCUGUGCAUCAGGGCCACUCACCCUGGAGGAUAAUGAGAAGCAC